UACGUAGGGGGCAAGCGUUGUCCGGAUUUAUUGGGCGUAAAGCGCGCGUAGGCGGCCAUGUAUGUCGUGCGUGAAAUCUCCCGGCUUAACUGGGAGGGGCCGUGCGAAACUGCCUGGCUUGAGGUCGGAAGGGGAAAGUGGAAUUCCGGGUGUAGUGGUGGAAUACGUAGAUAUCCGGAGGAACACCAGCGGCGAAGGCGGCUUUCUGGUCCGAUUCUGACGCUGAGGCGCGAAAGCGUGGGGAGCGAACAGG
rnacentral:rRNA from 1 species